GACGAACGCUGGCGGCGUGCUUAACACAUGCCAGUCGAACGGAAACGCCCCUUUGGGGGUCCUCGAGUGGCGGACGGGUGCGUAACACGGGGGUAACCUUCCCUUGACUUCUGGUCAACUUCAGGAAACUGGGGCUAAUACCGGUUAGACAUCCUUCCUGCAUGGUGGGGGUUGGAAAGCUUCGGCGGUUUUGGAUGGACUGGCGGGUUAUCGGCUUGUUGGCGGGGUAGUGGCUUACCAAGGCUUUGACGGGUAGCCGGCCUGAGGGAGCGAGCGGCCACAUUGGGACUGAGGGACGGCCCAGGCGCCUACGGGUGGCAGAAGGGGGGAAGAUUGAACAAUGGGCGGAAGCCGGAUGCAGAAACGCCGCGGGCGGGAAGGCGGCCUUCGGGUUGAAGAACGGUUUCAGCAGGGGCGAAGCUUGUGGUGACGGUACCUGCAGAAGAAGCACCGGCUAACUACGUG
rnacentral:rRNA from 1 species